rfam:Schistosoma rodhaini strain Burundi genome assembly, scaffold: SROB_scaffold0005731
AUCCAGUUGACGAGUCCCAAAUAGGACGAAACGCACGUCAAACUGGAU